AGUCCAGUGGGACUCUUCAGUAGAGUCUCCAUCCAGUGGGACUCUUCAGAUCAGUCAUCUCAGUCCAGUGGGACUCUUCAAAUUAGCCAUUAAUUGGAGAGAAACAUCUAAUGUGUGUGUAAUCCUGUAGGUUCAAACUUAAGCCGAUAGUACAGGAACUGAUUUCUGUACCAAUCAGAGUAACCAUGUAGUAAUGGUACC
rnacentral:lncRNA from 1 species